AGCAGCCGCGGUAAUUCCAGCUCCAAUAGCGUAUAUUAAAGUUGUUGCAGUUAAAAAGCUCGUAGUUGAAUUUCGGGAUCAAUAUGUUGGUCGUGCCUUGGUACGUACUGGCAUUAUUGGUUUCUACCUUCUGAAGAACCUCGAUGUCAUUAAUUUGGUGUCUUGGGGAAUCAGGACUGUUACUUUGAAAAAAUUAGAGUGUUUAAAGCAGGCUCACGCUUGAAUACAUUAGCAUGGAAUAAUGAAAUAGGACGUUUGAUUCUAUUUUGUUGGUUUCUAGGAUCGACGUAAUGAUUAAUAGGGAUAGUUGGGGGCAUUAGUAUUCAAUUGUCAGAGGUGAAAUUCUUGGAUUUAUUGAAGACUAACUACUGCGAAAGCAUUUGCCAAGGAUGUUUUCAUUAAUCAAGAACGAAAGUUAGGGGAUCGAAGACGAUCAGAUACCGUCGUAGUCUUAACCAUAAACUAUGCCGACUAGGGAUCGGAUGAUGUUAAUUUUUUAAUGACUCAUUCGGCGCCUUACG
rnacentral:rRNA from 1 species